rnacentral:rRNA from 1 species
UACAGAGGGGGCGAGCGUUACUCGGAAUUACUGGGCGUAAAGCGCACGUAGGCGGCUUGGUAUGUCUGGUGUGAAAACCCCGGGCUCAACCUGGGAACUGCAUCCGAAACUGCCUUGCUCGAGUAUGGGAGAGGGAAGCGGAAUUUCCGGUGUAGCGGUGAAAUGCGUAGAUAUCGGGAGGAACAUCAGUGGCGAAGGCGGCUUCCUGGACCAAUACUGACGCUCAGGUGCGAAAGCUUGGGGAGCAAACAGG